UUCCGGUGUCUUUAAAUUCUCUGCCAUUAAUCUGUUCGAACGCUGCGAGUGAAUUUAGCUACUCUGAUCUGAUUGAACGAUGGCUAUACCCACCAGUUAAUGUUCGAGAAAAGCCCUGGACCAUCAAACGACCAGCUCUGGAUCUGAUAGCCGCCUGCGACUCGAGCAAAACGGUCGUUUUAGUUCCUCUUUAUUUUGCCGCAGUCAGAAAUUAUUCCAGCUCAAGGCCAGCGGUCGCGCGCACUGCUUUCUGCUCCUACAGCCUUUCACAUCUCUCACCUCAUAAACUAAACACAUCUCUUGUUUGAUGGUAUGCAGAUCUGGAUUUCUAACACAGAGUCGGUCUCAAGCUGAUAUAUAAUGCUGUUCCAGUAACACAAACACUAGUUUGGCUUGAAGUCAAGUAGAGCAAAGGCUGUGCGAGGCAGAGAAAGGCCAGAGGGAGAAGACGUAUACUGAGUCUUUGUGCCAGGGGUUGUGCUCCCCACUUACUGCUGGUCACCCAUCGAUUCCUGGCUGCCUUCCACCUCUGAUCACAGCCAUGACCUCUCAGAGAGACCCUGACACAGUGAAUCUACGGUUGAUCCUUGUGAGUGGGAAGACACAGGAUUUCACUUUCUCUCCAAAUGACUCUGCCACAGAAAUUGCCCGGCAUGUUUUUGAGAACUGGCCGGCAGG